AUCUAGUGGUGUGGACACCUUGCACAUAACUUAUUGAAUCUCUCCCAACACGCAUACAAGCUCUCUCCACCAAGUUGCCUAAUCCUAGAAAUAUCUUUCUUUAUGGU